UGGCGACCGGCGCACGGGUGAGUAACACGUAUCCAACCUGCCGAUGACUCGGGGAUAGCCUUUCGAAAGAAAGAUUAAUACCCGAUGGCAUAGUUCUUCCGCAUGGUGGAACUAUUAAAGAAUUUCGGUCAUCGAUGGGGAUGCGUUCCAUUAGGUUGUUGGCGGGGUAACGGGCCCACCAAGCCUUCGAUGGAUAGGGGUUCUGAGAGGAAGGUCCCCCACAUUGGAACUGAGACACGGUCCAAACUCCUACGGGAGGCAGCAUG
rnacentral:rRNA from 1 species